UGGGGUAAAGGCUUACCAAGGCAAUGAUGCGUAGCCGAAUUGAGAGGUUGAUCGGCCACAUUGGGACUGAGACACGGCCCAAACUCCUACGGGAGGCAGCAGUAGGGAAUCUUCCACAAUGGGCGAAAGCCUGAUGGAGCAACGCCGCGUGGGUGAAGAAGGUCUUCGGAUCGUAAAACCCUGUUGUUAGAGAAGAAAGUGCGUGAGAGUAACUGUUCACGUUUCGACGGUAUCUAACCAGAAAGCCACGGCUAACUACGUGCCAGCAGCCGCGGUAAUACGUAGGUGGCAAGCGUUAUCCGGAUUUAUUGGGCGUAAAGGGAACGCAGGCGGUCUUUUAAGUCUGAUGUGAAAGCCUUCGGCUUAACCGGAGUAGUGCAUUGGAAACUGGGAGACUUGAGUGCAGAAGAGGAGAGUGGAACUCCAUGUGUAGCGGUGAAAUGCGUAGAUAUAUGGAAGAACACCAGUGGCGAAAGCGGCUCUCUGGUCUGUAACUGACGCUGAGGUUCGAAAGCGUGGGUAGCAAACAGGAUUAGAUACCCUGGUAGUCCACGCCG
rnacentral:rRNA from 1 species